rnacentral:rRNA from 1 species
GACGAACGCUGGUGGCGUGCUUAACACAUGCAAGUCGAACGGGAUUUAGUAAACAGAAGCCUCGGUGGAAGAUUACUAAUGAGAGCGGCGAACGGGUGAGUAACGCGUGAGCAACCUGCCUAUGACAGUGGGAUAGCCUCGGGAAACCGGGAUUAAUACCGCAUAAAAUCGUAGAAACACAUGUUUUAACGGUCAAAGAUUUAUCGGUCAUAGAUGGGCUCGCGUCUGAUUAGCUAGUUGGUGAGAUAACAGCCCACCAAGGCGACGAUCAGUAGCCGGUCUGAGAGGAUGAACGGCCACAUUGGAACUGAGACACGGUCCAAACUCCUACGGGAGGCAGCAGUGGGGAAUAUUGCACAAUGGGGGAAACCCUGAUGCAGCGACGCCGCGUGAACGAAGAAGGUAUUCGUAUCGUAAAGUUCUGUCCUAUGGGAAGAUAAUGACAGUACCAUAGAAGAAAGCUCCGGCUAAAUACGUG